rnacentral:piRNA from 1 species
UCAAAUGUGCAUUUGUAACUGAAUUGAAC